AUUGAACGCUGGCGGCAGGCUUAACACAUGCAAGUCGAACGGUAACGUAAAGAAGCUUGCUUCUUUGAUGACGAGUGGCGGACGGGUGAGUAAUGCUUGGGAAUCUAGCUUAUGGAGGGGGAUAACUACGGGAAACUGUAGCUAAUACCGCGUAGGAUCGAGAGAUGAAAGUGUGGGACCUUCGGGCCACAUGCCAUAGGAUGAGCCCAAGUGGGAUUAGGUAGUUGGUGAGGUAAAGGCUCACCAAGCCGACGAUCUCUAGCUGGUCUGAGAGGAUGACCAGCCACACUGGGACUGAGACACGGCCCAGACUCCUACGGGAGGCAGCAGUGGGGAAUAUUGCGCAAUGGGGGCAACCCUGACGCAGCCAUGCCGCGUGAAUGAAGAAGGCCUUCGGGUUGUAAAGUUCUUUCGGUAGCGAGGAAGGCAUUUAGUUUAAUAGACUAGGUGAUUGACGUUAACUACAGAAGAAGCACCGGCUAACUCCGUGCCAGCAGCCGCGGUAAUACGGAGGGUGCGAGCGUUAAUCGGAAUAACUGGGCGUAAAGGGCACGCAGGCGGUGACUUAAGUGAGGUGUGAAAGCCCCGGGCUUAACCUGGGAAUUGCAUUUCAUACUGGGUCGCUAGAGUACUUUAGGGAGGGGUAGAAUUCCACGUGUAGCGGUGAAAUGCGUAGAGAUGUGGAGGAAUACCGAAGGCGAAGGCAGCCCCUUGGGAAUGUACUGACGCUCAUGUGCGAAAGCGUGGGGAGCAAACAGG
rnacentral:rRNA from 1 species